CUAAAUACUCCUGACUGACCGAUAGUGAACCAGUACCGUGAGGGAAAGGCGAAAAGAACCCCGGCGAGGGGAGUGAAAAAGAACCUGAAACCGUGUACGUACAAGCAGUGGGAGCACGCUUAGGCGUGUGACUGCGUACCUUUUGUAUAAUGGGUCAGCGACUUAUAUUCUGUAGCAAGGUUAACCGAAUAGGGGAGCCGAAGGGAAACCGAGUCUUAACUGGGCGUUAAGUUGCAGGGUAUAGACCCGAAACCCGGUGAUCUAGCCAUGGGCAGGUUGAAGGUUGGGUAACACUAACUGGAGGACCGAACCGACUAAUGUUGAAAAAUUAGCGGAUGACUUGUGGCUGGGGGUGAAAGGCCAAUCAAACCGGGAGAUAGCUGGUUCUCCCCGAAAGCUAUUUAGGUAGCGCCUCGUGAAUUCAUCUCCGGGGGUAGAGCACUGUUUCGGCAAGGGGGUCAUCCCGACUUACCAACCCGAUGCAAACUGCGAAUACCGGAGAAUGUUAUCACGGGAGACACACGGCGGGUGCUAACGUCCGUCGUGAAGAGGGAAACAACCCAGACCGCCAGCUAAGGUCCCAAAGUCAUGGUUAAGUGGGAAACGAUGUGGGAAGGCCCAGACAGCCAGGAUGUUGGCUUAGAAGCAGCCAUCAUUUAAAGAAAGCGUAAUAGCUCACUGGUCGAGUCGGCCUGCGCGGAAGAUGUAACGGGGCUAAACCAUGCAC
rnacentral:rRNA from 1 species